CGGGUGAGUAACACGUGGGUAACCUACCUAUAAGACUGGGAUAACUUCGGGAAACCGGAGCUAAUACCGGAUAAUAUUUCGAACCGCAUGGUUCGAUAGUGAAAGAUGGUUUUGCUAUCACUUAUAGAUGGACCCGCGCCGUAUUAGCUAGUUGGUAAGGUAACGGCUUACCAAGGCGACGAUACGUAGCCGACCUGAGAGGGUGAUCGGCCACACUGGAACUGAGACACGGUCCAGACUCCUACGGGAGGCAGCAGUAGGGAAUCUUCCGCAAUGGGCGAAAGCCUGACGGAGCAACGCCGCGUGAGUGAUGAAGGUCUUCGGAUCGUAAAACUCUGUUAUUAGGGAAGAACAUACGUGUAAGUAACUAUGCACGUCUUGACGGUACCUAAUCAGAAAGCCACGGCUAACUACGUGCCAGCAGCCGCGGUAAUACGUAGGUGGCAAGCGUUAUCCGGAAUUAUUGGGCGUAAAGCGCGCGUAGGCGGUUUUUUAAGUCUGAUGUGAAAGCCCACGGCUCAACCGUGGAGGGUCAUUGGAAACUGGAAAACUUGAGUGCAGAAGAGGAAAGUGGAAUUCCAUGUGUAGCGGUGAAAUGCGCAGAGAUAUGGAGGAACACCAGUGGCGAAGGCGACUUUCUGGUCUGUAACUGACGCUGAUGUGCGAAAGCGUGGGGAUCAAACAGGAUUAGAUACCUGGUAGUCCACGCCGUAAACGAUGAGUGCU
rnacentral:rRNA from 1 species